AACGAACGCUGGCGGCAGGCUUAACACAUGCAAGUCGAGCGCCCCGCAGGGGGAGCGGCAGACGGGUGAGUAACGCGUGGGAACGUACCCUUUGCUACGGAAUAGCUCCGGGAAACUGGAAUUAAUACCGUAUGUGCCCUACGGGGGAAAGAUUUAUCGGCAAAGGAUCGGCCCGCGUUGGAUUAGCUAGUUGGUGGGGUAAUGGCCUACCAAGGCGACGAUCCAUGGCUGGUCUGAGAGGAUGAUCAGCCACAUUGGGACUGAGACACGGCCCAAACUCCUACGGGAGGCAGCAGUGGGGAAUAUUGGACAAUGGGCGCAAGCCUGAUCCAGCCAUGCCGCGUGAGUGAUGAAGGCCUUAGGGUUGUAAAGCUCUUUCACCGGAGAAGAUAAUGACGGUAUCCGGAGAAGAAGCCCCGGCUAACUUCGUGCCAGCAGCCGCAGUAACAC
rnacentral:rRNA from 1 species